AGUGAACGCUGGCGGCAGGCCUAACACAUGCAAGUCGAGCGGCAGCGGGCUCUUCGUGUUGCCUGCGAGCGGCGGGCGGGGGUGGAAUGCAUCGGAAUCUGCUCUGUCGUGCGGGAUGAUCUCGGGAAACUUAGGCUAAUACUGCCUACGACGCACGGGUGAAAGCGGGGGAUCGCAAGACCUCUCGCGCUAGGAUGAGCCGAGGUCCGAUUUGCUAGCUGGCGGGGUAAAGGCCCACCAAGGCGACGAGCGGUAGCUGGUCUGAGAGGAUGAUUAGCCACACGGGAAGUGGGACGGGGCCCAGACUCCUGCGGGAGGCAGCAGUGGGGAAUAUGGGACAAAGGGCGCAAGCCUGAUACAGCCAUGCCGCGUGGGAGAAAGAGGCCUUCGGGUUGUAAAGCCCGUUUGUCGGGGAAGAACUCGUCUGGGCUAAGACGACGGGCGGAUGACGGUACCGGAAGAAUAAGCACCGGCUAACUUCGUG
rnacentral:rRNA from 1 species